AAUGAACGUUGGCGGCGUGGAUUAGGCAUGCAAGUCGUGCGAGAAAUUCCCUGCUUGCAGGGGAUGGAAAGCGGCGUAAGGGAGAGUAACGCGUGGAUAACCUACCCUGGGGUCCGGAAUAGCUGCGGGAAACUGCAGGUAAUGCCGGAUAACAUCUUCGGAUCAAAGGUGUGAUUCCGCCCUGGGAGGGGUCCGCGUCCUAUUAGCUUGUUGGUGGGUAACGGCCUACCAAGGCGACGAUGGGUACCGGGUGUGAGAGCAUGGCCCGGCUCACUGGGACUGAGACACUGCCCAGACACCUACGGGUGGCUGCAGUCGAGAAUCUUCGGCAAUGGGCGCAAGCCUGACCGAGCGACGCCGCGUGCGGGAUGAAGGCUUUCGGGUUGUAAACCGCUGUCGGAGGGGAGGAAAUCGUAAGGGGCUAUCCCCUUGCGUUGACCUAUCCUUAGAGGAAGGACGGGCUAAGUUCGUG
rnacentral:rRNA from 1 species